CGCUCGCGCCGCCCGCCGACGGACAGUGUAAGCGCGCCCACAUUUCGGAAAACCUGCAAAUCAAUUUCCCAGGCCUGGCAUGGCGCCACUCGCCAGCAGGCCGGUUCCGGACAGUCGCUCUGUCUCUCUCGCACCCGUAGUGGAGGCCGCAGGCCUUGCCGCAGGCCGCACGGGUGCGAGAGAGACAGAAAGCGCGCUGCUCGGAGCCAGCCUGCAGUCGAGACGGUCAGCAAGUCACGUAAACGCCCCGAACGGAGGCGAAAUUGGGGCCCCCACGGGCUGAUUCCGAACGGAGGGCCCCGUCGGUCUGUCUCUCUCGCACCCGUGCGGCGCGCCCCGCGAGUGCGAGAGAGAGACCGGUGGCCCGCCUCGGCGGAACUGGCGGAACCCAGGACGCAGAUCGAAGGCAGUAAUCUGUGGUGUGCCACGCUGUAGAUUGCACGGUGGCCGGAGCCGUGUUCCACAACGGCGCGCGUCUGCCCGCCAGCGCCGACCCGGACCCGUGCCGCGCGUGCUACUGCCAGGGCGGCGAGGCCGUGUGCACGCGGGUGCACUGCUACCGCCGGCCCGACUGCGCGCCGCGACACGUGCCCGGCAGCUGCUGCCCCAAGUACGACAACUGCCCGCCCGCGCCCGAGGAGCGGAUACCCGAGCCCAAGGUCAAGGAUGUGUCCACGCAGACGGACUACUCCGUGGAGCCGACGGCCACGCCGACGACCGACGCCACCCGGGUCACCGCGGCCACCACGCAGGUAACCACGUCCGACACGUGGGCGACGAGCGAGCAGGCCGCCGAGGAGGCGACGGGCACCGCCACCAUGACCACCGACUACACCACGGUCACCACGACCACGGCGUCGUCCGCCUCCGCGACGGCCUCCACGACGCCGGCCGAGGAGGACGAGGAGUCCGCGGAGGCGGCCACCAGCUCGUACCCGCCCGGCAUCGACCUCCACGCACUGCACGAGCACCUGCCCUUCCUCAGCCCCGGGGACGCCAACGGGCCCAGCACGUGACCGCCAGCACCUCCACGAUGUCGAGGACGAUGUCGAGGACCCUCCGCGCGCCCUCAUGCUCAAGCAGCCCCGCCGGCGCCCUCUGCUUGGCCUCGGCCUCGCCAGGGGUCGCCGUCAACUAGUCGUCGGGGAGCCCAUCUCACACUCCGCACCGGGCCGGCGUCACGGAGGCCGGCCGAGUCAUGAUCGCACCAGUGCAGCCGCCCAUAGAAUGGCAUCAAACAAAAGGAGAGAGAGAGUCCUUGGCGAACUGUCCUUCUCUUGCUUUAGCCGCGUGUCCACUUCCUUCUUUACCGCACUUUGGAUUCGGGUGUCUUGCGUAAAUGCCAGGUUAUUUUCUACAAAGACUCAUGGAAGUUGGCAUCUUUCAAAUUCAAGAAAAACAAAUGUUAGUCGUUUUUCGACAGCUGCGCUGUGCAUCCCGCAUAUCAACUUUGUAAAUAAUACGCGUUGCUCACAAUCAAACAUUUUUGUUGUAUGUAAAAUCUCAAUUGAAGGGGAAACGAUUCCCAAGACUUGAGUGUACCUGUGGCUCGUUACUAUUUAAUUAAAGACCAUGCUAGUCUUAGUUUCACUGUACCUUUGCGCUAUGUUCGUUGUGUAAACGCAAUACGAGUUGUUUUUUUUUUAACUAGAUAAGUUCCUGUAGGAUAAGGAUGAAGUACGAGGUAUCUAUAAGUUAUAGGAGGAGAGAAUUUAUACUCAGAUCUUUUAAUGUAUUUUUCUGAAGCUUUUUCAAGACGCAGUGCGUUGAGUGAUACAUCGAUUGCAACUUUACCGACAGACAUAAUUAUUAGCGCUACGCUACAGCUUUGUCAUUGGAUCCAUUUUUCUUUUGAAAUUAAAAUAAUUGUCGUAGUACAGUGCGCUGAACAGCCACGCGUUAGGGUGGCUGAAUUGUUUUGCUUGUAAUGACAGCUCUAUGAAUGCUUUAUUGACGUAUCGACGCACGAUACAGGAUAAAUAUAUUUCUUCCAGUUUA